UACGGAGGAAAGAGGGGGCUUCGGCUCUCGCUAUUGGAUGGGCCUGCGUGAGAUUAGCUAGUUGGUGAGGUAAUGGCUCACCAAGGCGACGAUCUCUAGCUGGUCUGAGAGGAUGAUCAGCCACACUGGGACUGAGACACGGCCCAGACUCCUACGGGAGGCAGCAGUGGGGAAUAUUGCACAAUGGGCGCAAGCCUGAUGCAGCCAUGCCGCGUGUGUGAAGAAGGCUUUCGGGUUGUAAAGCACUUUCAGUGGGGAGGAAGGCCUCGUAGUUAAUAGCUGCGAGGAUUGACGUUACCCACAGAAGAAGCACCGGCUAACUCCGUG
rnacentral:rRNA from 1 species